UACGUAGGGUGCAAGCGUUGUCCGGAAUUAUUGGGCGUAAAGAGCUCGUAGGUGGCCUGUCGCGUCGGCUGUGAAAACUCGGGGCUCAACUCCGAGCUUGCAGUCGAUACGGGCAGGCUAGAGUUCGGCAGGGGAGACUGGAAUUCCUGGUGUAGCGGUGAAAUGCGUAGAUAUCGGGAGGAACACCAGUGGCGAAGGCGAUCACCUGGGGUUGUUCUGACGCUGAGGAGCGAAAGCUAGGGGAGCAAACGGG
rnacentral:rRNA from 1 species